rnacentral:rRNA from 1 species
GAUGAACGCUGGCGGCGUGCCUAAUACAUGCAAGUAGAACGCUGAAGCUUGGUGCUUGCACCGAGCGGAUGAGUUGCGAACGGGUGAGUAACGCGUAGGUAACCUGCCUCUUAGCGGGGGAUAACUAUUGGAAACGAUAGCUAAUACCGCAUAAAAGUCGAUAUCGCAUGAUAUUGAUUUGAAAGGUGCAAUUGCAUCACUAAGAGAUGGACCUGCGUUGUAUUAGCUAGUUGGUGAGGUAACGGCUCACCAAGGCGACGAUACAUAGCCGACCUGAGAGGGUGAUCGGCCACACUGGGACUGAGACACGGCCCAGACUCCUACGGGAGGCAGCAGUAGGGAAUCUUCGGCAAUGGGGGCAACCCUGACCGAGCAACGCCGCGUGAGUGAAGAAGGUUUUCGGAUCGUAAAGCUCUGUUGUAAGAGAAGAACGAGUGUGAGAGUGGAAAGUUCACACUGUGACGGAACUACCAGAAAGGCG